rnacentral:miRNA from 10 species
AGGUUGAUGCAAAAGUAAUUGUGGUUUUUGCCAUUGAAAGUAAUGGCCAAAACCGCAAUUACUUUUGCACCAACCUAAGAAA